rnacentral:rRNA from 1 species
GUGGCCAAUUAAGUCAAAUGUGAAAUCCCCGAGCUUAACUUGGGAAUUGCAUUCGAUACUGGUUGGCUAGAGUAUGGGAGAGGAUGGUAGAAUUCCAGGUGUAGCGGUGAAAUGCGUAGAGAUCUGGAGGAAUACCGAUGGCGAAGGCAGCCAUCUGGCCUAAUACUGACACUGAGGUGCGAAAGCAUGGGGAGCAAACAGGAUUAGAUACCCUGGUAGUCCAUGCCGUAAACGAUGUCUACUAGCCGUUGGGGCCUUUGAGGCUUUAGUGGCGCAGCUAACGCGAUAAGUAGACCGCCUGGGGAGUACGGUCGCAAGACUAAAACUCAAAUGAAUUGACGGGGGCCCGCACAAGCGGUGGAGCAUGUGGUUUAAUUCGAUGCAACGCGAAGAACCUUACCUGGUCUUGACAUAGUAAGAACUUUCCAGAGAUGGAUUGGUGCCUUCGGGAACUUACAUACAGGUGCUGCAUGGCUGUCGUCAGCUCGUGUCGUGAGAUGUUGGGUUAAGUCCCGCAACGAGCGCAACCCUUUUCCUUAUUUGCCAGCGGGUUAAGCCGGGAACUUUAAG